GGAAGUUUUGCUGAAGUUCACCCCACAAAGACACCCAAAGACAGGACAGAUAGUCCUCUGGGCGGAAGGAACAUGAGGUCCAGAGAUGAAGGAGGCUGAGGAAGAAGAAAUGAACGGCUCAGCUGGAAAGGUGACUGGUAAACUAGAGGAUCCAGGUCCUAGUGAGAACUAAUUGCCAAAAGCUCAGAUCAUGGGGACCCCCCAAGGGUCCCCCACCUUCCCCCAAUCAGUCCACCCAAUCCAUUGAGAGCAGCGAGGAUGAAAAGGACCGACUGGAGGACGGGGAGGUAAAUCAGCAUCAUUCUUUACAACCACCCUUGUUGGCUUCGGAAGGAAGUGUGAAGUAUCGGCCGUAUGGGCUCGGGGAUGUGCAGGUGUUGGUGGAUCAACUUCCCCCAGUGGCAGAGGGAGGAGGUUUGUGGCUUGGCAAAUUGGACAAGCUGAUCGCAGGGCAGAGAUUGGCAUUGGGAGACUUUAGGGCGGUUAUUCAGAGGUGCCUGACCAGUAUAGAUGCACGAGACCUUGAGAGGGCAGCAGGGACUUUGCGCCAGCAGGAUGAGAAGCCGUUUGCGCAAUGGGCUGGUGACCUGAGCAGGGUGAUUAGAGAAAAAUAUCCAUUACCCACUUCAUCCGCCGUGCCCAAACUGGCAUGGAAUUCGAAAGAAAAUCCAAGGAUCUUCUUGGAUCAGACUAAGGAACUGUGGGUGCGUCAUACUGGGUGUCAUCCUGGCAAACCAGGGCCCCAGAGGGAGUGGUAUAGACAGGCGGUGUUGGAGGGAGUACCGGAGAAGGUAAAAACUGCUAUGUGUGACAAUUCUGAUUUACAGGGGGCUGACUCUGUAGUGUGGGAGAGACAUCUGGUGCACCAUCUGACUCGUGUUCAGCAACAACUGCAAAAGGAAGACGAGCAGAAUAAGGGCCUCCAAACUCAGCUUUUAAAAAAAUACAGCUGUCAGAGGCCCGGGAAAGGGUUAAUUCAGAAAAAAGAAGGAGAACAACGAGGAACCAAAGAAAUUGAUGUGGCAAUGGGGAAUGGAUGCUCCAGAAUCCCCGGACCUGUUUCCCAUACCGCCCUGGGAGCCGAAUCGCCGUUUACCGGUGAACAGAAGGGGGUACAGGGGAGCUCAGAGGGGGGAAAUGGAUGGAGAGGAUGCGGGGGGCGUGGAGGCCCACCUCGAAAUGUAUGCUUCCUAUGUGGGGACACAGAACAUUGGGUAAAAGACUGUCCUCACAGAGGUUACUUCGCCCGAGGAAGAGCCCGGGGGGGGACAGGGUGCCGGUUCG
rnacentral:lncRNA from 1 species